rnacentral:rRNA from 1 species
AGAGUGAACGCUGGCGGUAGGCCUAACACAUGCAAGUCGAACGGCAGCACGGUAAGAGCUUGCUCUUAUGGGUGGCGAGUGGCGGACGGGUGAGGAAUACAUCGGAAUCUACCUUUUGGUGGGGGAUAACGUAGGGAAACUUACGCUAAUACCGCAUACGCCCGUUCGGGGGAAAGCCGGGGACCAGCAAUGGCCUGGCGCUGAUAGAUGAGCCGAUGUCGGAUUAGCUAGUUGGUGAGGUAAUGGCUCACCGAAGGCGACGAUCCGUAGCUGGUCUGAGAGGAUGAUCAGCCACACGUGGAACUGAGACACGGUCCAGACCUCCGACGGGAGCAGCAGGUGGGAAUAGUUGGACAAGUCGGGACACGAAGCCCUGAACUCCCGAAGCCC